CUAAAACUGUUGCUAAUGUGUAACUCUGUUGUUAACAACUGGAAUUGCACUGUAGCAAUGGUGUUGG
rnacentral:pre_miRNA from 1 species